rnacentral:miRNA from 11 species
CAUUUGUAUGAUAAUACAUGUAUGUAUAUGUAUGUGUGUCUGUGUGUGUGUGUAUAUAUAUAUACACACACACACACACAAUAUAAUUUACAAUAAUAUAUA